rnacentral:tRNA from 1 species
GGAGGGACUGUAGUUCAGUGGUAAAACAUCUGUUUGGCAUACAGAAAGGCCCAGGUUGAAUCCCCAGGCAUCUCCA